AUGCCAGGCCCGCAGCCGGCCCUGCUGGAUAGCCGGGGCUGCCCAGAGCAGGCGAGACCCCGCGCGGGCGGGGCUGGCCCAGCGUUUUUGGGGUGCUGCCGGAGCUCCCCGAGGCUUUGCCGCGGCUGCUGUGCCAUUACAGCGGGUGCCAGAGAGGGUCCGUGCGCUCCCAAGGGGGUCACAGGGAUGGGAGAGCUCCCCGCAGCAGCGUGUGGUGGUGUCUGUGAUGGAAGGAGGGGCUGGACCCCCCCAGUUUCACAGCCGGGGGAGCUGAGUCAGGAAAUCCCGGCUGGCCCGGCCGGAUCCCGGCUGAGUCAUUUGGCGGCGCUGAGCGAGUGCCCGAGCCGGGUUCAGAGCUCCAGAGCCGGGUUCAGAGCUCCAGAGCCGGGUUCAGGGCUCCAGAGCGGGGUUCAGGGCUCCAGAGCCGGGUUCAGAGCUCCCGUGUGGGGUUCAGAGCUCCAGAGCCGGGUUCAGGGCUCCAGAGCCGGGUUCAGAGCUCCCGUGUGGGGUUCAGAGCUCCCGUGUGGGGUUCAGGGCUCCCGUGUGGGGUUCAGAGCUCCCCUGUUGGGGUUCAGAGCUCCCCUGUUGGGGUCCAAGGCUCCCACACCUCUUGUCAGGGGGCAGGGGCUGCCGCACAUGCCCCGGCAGUGCUCCUGGCCCUGGCCUCGGGUCACUCCCUGCAGCCCCAUGCCUCAGUUUCCCCCCAAUGUUUUCCUAGGACUGGAUGAGACAGAAAGCUCCUGGGAUGUGGACGUGUCACACAUCCCGGCACGGCAGCAGGCUCUGAGAGACCAGGGAGAGGGGAAACAGCUUGGGAUGGGGAUUGUGGGACUGGGUGAGCUCUGGUGUGCACUGGGAGGAGAAUGGUAUUCCCAAGGCAGGAUUUGGGAUCCUCCUUCUGGUAAAGGGGGUCUCCAGUCUUGGUGUGCUGGGAAGGGGUUGGCAUUGAGGAGAGGAAUGAGGGUGAAGAAAGGAUGGGGAUGGGAACUGGGAUGGGAAAUAAGAUCGGAAUGGGGACAGGAAUAG
rnacentral:lncRNA from 1 species